UACAGAGGGUGCAAGCGUUUGUUCGGAAUUAUUGGGCGUAAAGGGCGCGUAGGCGGUGCGGUAAGUCUGCAGUGAAAUCUCUGGGCUCAACUCAGAGUCUGCUGUAGAAACUGCCGUGCUUGAGUGUGGGAGAGGUGAGUGGAAUUCCCGGUGUAGCGGUGAAAAUGCGUAGAUAUCAGGAGGAACACCUGUGGCGAAAAGCGGCUCACUGGACCAUAACUGACGCUGAUGCACGAAAAGCUAGGGGGGAGCAAAACAGG
rnacentral:rRNA from 1 species